rnacentral:rRNA from 1 species
AGUGAACGCUGGCGGUAGGCCUAACACAUGCAAGUCGAGCGGCAGCACAGUAAGAUUUUGCUCCUACGGUUGGCGACGGACGGGCGAGUAAGGCAUACAUCGGCUUCUACUUUUUCUUGGGGGACAACGUAGGGCCACUGAUGCUAACACAGAAUAUUUCCAACGGGUUAAUGCAGGGGAGAUUGGCGGCCUUGCCGACUCAAUUAGCCGGAUCCGCGUUGCAUUAGCUAGUUGGUAAGGUAACGGCCUACCAAGGCAACGAUGCGUAGCCGACCUGAGAGGAUGAUCGGCCACACUGGAACUGAGACACGGUCCAGACUCCUACGGGAGGCAGCAGUAGGGAAUAUUGGACAAUGGGCGCAAGCCUGACCCAGCCAUACCGCGUGGGUGAAGAAGGCCUUCGGGUUGUAAAGCCCUUUUGUUGGGAAAGAAAAGCUGCAGGUUAAUACGCCGAUGUUUUGACGGUACCCAAAGAAAAAGCAACGGCUAACUUCGUG